UCCCUCUUUUCCUUUCUGUCUCUGUUGCCUUGUCACCUAUCAGAGGUGAAGAAAAUCCAGGCUGUGAGUGUUGCCUGUUGCAUUCUGGUUAAGGGUGAGGAGGAGACUUGGGAGUUGUGGGUGCCCAAUUUUUCUGGGGCUUCAUGAGGAGAUGUAAACAUUGGGUGAUUGUUCAUUCAGCAAACAUUGGCUGACUGGUGAGGGGGAGGUGUCUACAACAGACAAGGAGCUGCGCCAAAAGCUCACCUUUUGCAAGGGGAGAAGCAAAACCCAGGAAGGCUGGUAAAGUGGACAGUUGCAGUCGUAAGAAGGACAUUGAAGAAACCAGAGCAAGAAAAGGCCCAUCUUUGGAAGCUUGGGAAAGAGAGUGGACCAGGUGGAUGAAACAGCAAAUGCAAAGGCCCUGAAGCGGGAAAGGGAUGCAUAUUUGAGGAAAAACAAGGAGACCAGGAACUGCUGGGCCCCCGCUCAAGAGGGGCUGUCCCUGGGGGCUGGGCCCAUCAGAACACCCGUGCAUCUAGGUCAAGUAUUGGGUUGGCUUUCAGAUGGAAGAUACAAGCACCCUGUGUGGAGACCAUCAGUAAGGCCACUACGCCUU